UACGUAGGGGGCUAGCGUUGUCCGGAAUCAUUGGGCGUAAAGAGCGUGUAGGCGGCUUGGUAAGUCCGCUGUGAAAGUCCAGGGCUCAACCCUGGAAUGCCAGUGGAUACUGUCAAGCUAGAGUCCGGAAGAGGCGAGUGGAAUUCCUGGUGUAGCGGUGAAAUGCGCAGAUAUCAGGAGGAACACCGAUGGCGAAGGCAGGUCUCUGGGCCAUUACUGACACUGAGAAGCGAAAGCAUGGGGAGCGAACAGG
rnacentral:rRNA from 1 species